CGAACACAUUUGUUAUGGUGGGAGGAGCCAAAAUUUUACAGAAUCCUGUCCAGAUUUAGAUGAGUAUGACUUUGAUGACAUCACAUCAAGUGCCAAAUGCCAAAAAGGGGUGUGGAUACUUUACUCGGAAAAAUAUUACCAAGGAAAAAUAUUCGUCGUACAGGAUGGCGAAGAUUAUAAUGAGAAGCUCUGCGAUAAUUUCAACGACAAAGCAUCAUCUUUGAGAUUGCUAGAUAAUUUUGAUUUUACUGAAGAGUCGAAGUGUACAAUAUACAAAGACAAUAAUUUUUUAGGGCGUUCUCUGACUUUACGUGAAGAUGUACCAAACCUGAAAUUGUACAAUU